GACGAACCGUGCGAACGUUAUUCGGAAUCACUGGGCUUAAAGCGCGUGUAGGCGGGUCGGCACGUCGGGAGCUGAAAUCCCCCGGCUCAACCGGGGAAGGGGCGCCGAUACGACCGGCCUGGAGGGACGUAGGGGGCUGGAACUUCCGGUGGAGCGGUGAAAUGCGUUGAGAUCGGAAGGAACGCCCGUGGCGAAAGCGAGCCCCUGGACGUCCUACUGACGCUGAGACGCGAAAGCCCAGGG
rnacentral:rRNA from 1 species